GGCGUAGAGCAGUCCGGUAGCUCGCCAGCCUCACAAGCUGGAGGUCGCAUCUAAGCCGCGUGGCUCAUAACCACGAAAGACCGGUUUCGAUUCCCGGGCCU
rnacentral:tRNA from 1 species